rnacentral:rRNA from 1 species
AUUGAACGCUGGCGGCAGGCCUAACACAUGCAAGUCGAACGGGUGGCGGACGUGUGAGUAAUGUCUGGGAAACUGCCUGAUGGAGGGGGAUAACUACUGGAAACGGUAGCUAAUACCGCAUACCAUCGGAUGUGCCCAGAUGGGAUUAGCUUGUAGGUGAGGUAACGGCUCACCUCGGCGACGAUCCAUAGCUGGUCUGAGAGGAGGACCAGCCACACUGGAACUGAGACACGGUCCAGACUCCUACGGGAGGCAGCAGUGGGGAAUAUUGGACAAUGGGCGCAAGCCUGAUUCAGCCAUGCCGCGUGUGUGAAGAAGGCCUUCGGGUUGUAAAGUACUUUCAGCGGGGAGGCGUUACCCGCAGAAGAAGCACCGGCUAACUACGUGCCAGCAGCCGCGGUAAUAC